rnacentral:rRNA from 1 species
AUACAACAGCCCACCAACAGUCCUGAUUUGAAUGUGCUUGACCUGGGGUUUUUCAACUCGCUGCAAUCCUUGACAGAUUUUUUGAGUCCUAAAACACUACAAGACCUUAUUGCAGGUGUUUUGGAGGAAUUUGAAGGCUAUGAGGUUUACAAGCUCAACAAUUUUUUCCUAACUCUACAGUUGUGCAUGAUUGAAAUCCUGAACCAUGCAAGGGGCGAUGGGUAUAAAACACCACAUGUUAACAAGGAAAGGCUUGAGGGUCAUUGGCAGCUACCUCCAAGACUAACACGCCCUAAAGAGGUUUACGCAAAUGCCCUAUACAACUUAGAGCUAAUGGAGAGGGUUCGGUGA